rnacentral:rRNA from 1 species
UGGGGAAUAUUGGACAAUGGGCGCAAGCCUGAUCCAGCCAUGCCGCGUGUGUGAAGAAGGCCUUCGGGUUGUAAAGCACUUUCAGUGGUGAGGAAGGGGUGCUAGUGAAUAGCUAGCACCAUUGACGUUAGCCAC